AACGAACGCUGGCGGCAUGCCUAACACAUGCAAGUCGAACGAGACCUUCGGGCCUAUUUGCGCACGUGUGCGUAACGCCGGGGAACUUGCACUUAGGUUCCGAAUAACUCACCGAAAGGGGUCUUAAUACCGGUGAAGGUCUUCGCACCAACGAUCUCUGGCGUUUGGAUGGGCGCGCGUUGGUUUGGCUAGUUGGUAGGGUAAAAGCCUGCCAAGGCGAGGUUCCAUAGCUGGUCGGAGAGGAUGACAAGCCACACUGGGGAUAAGACACGGCCCAGAAUGCGACGGAAGGGAGGAGUGUAGAAUAUAGGACGAUGAACGAAAGCGUGAUCCAGCAAUGCCGGGUAAGUGAUGAAGGCGUUAGGGUUGUAAAGCUGUUUUACCCGGGAUGAUAAUGACGGUACCGGGAGAAGAAGCUCCGGCUAACUCCGUG
rnacentral:rRNA from 1 species